GGGUCAGUAGGCUGGUCGUGCCACCGGUACGUACUGGUCUCACUGAUUCCUCCUUCCUGAAGAACCGUAAUGCCAUUAAUUUGGUGUUGCGGGGAAACAGGGCUGUUACUUUGAAAAAAUUAGAGUGUUUAAAGCAAGCUAACGCUUGAAUACAUUAGCAUGGAAUAAUGAAAUAGGACGAUCGAUCCUAUUUUGUUUGUUUCUAGGAUUGACGUA
rnacentral:rRNA from 1 species